rnacentral:misc_RNA from 1 species
AAAAUAUCAGACUGAUAGUAUAUCCAAAAUACUUCAUUAAAAAUAUAAGUGCAUCAAGAAAUGGUAAACAAAAUAAAUAAAGAAAAGCAUUAUAGGCUUGACUUAUUAUUAUGAAGCCUUCCAUUUUCGUUCCAUUGAUUUUAAAAAUGCUUAAUUAAAAUGAACAAAGUUUCAGAAUCCAUCUACCAAAAAUUAAAGUCAUAACUCAUAAUACAAUGGCGAUGAGGAUUUUUCUACAAAGCAAUAAAGAAUAAACAAGGAUUGAAUUUUUAUUCAUUUAACUCUUAGAAACUUCCAGAGAUGCAUCAGUUAUCCAUCUUUAAAACGUGCUAAUAGCUAAUCAAAAUAUCACAAUAAUAAUAAUGAUAUUAUUGAAAGCAUGAUGCCAAAAUUGUCAUGACAAGGCCCAACUUACCAAAAUAGCCAUCAAGUGAUUAAAUAAAACAAGAACAAUGAAAGCUCAGUACGAAAACAACAAAUAAAAGUUCAUGGACAUGGAUAAAUCAAGGCUAAGGGAGGCUCAAGAAGCUACAGUAACACAGCUAAAUGCAUAUAUAGUCAGGAAACAUGUACUAAGAAACAUGAUAUAAAUUCAGACCUUGAUUGCAUUUUGAACACUGG